rnacentral:rRNA from 1 species
GUGUCAGCAGCCGCGGUAAUACGGAGGGUGCAAGCGUUGUCCGGAUUUAUUGGGUUUAAAGGGUGCGUAGGCGGCCCGUUAAGUCAGCGGUGAAAUCCCGGGGCUCAACCCCGGAACUGCCGUUGAUACUGGCGGGCUUGAGUUCGGUCGAGGCGGGCGGAACUGGCGGUGUAGCGGUGAAAUGCUUAGAUACCGCCAAGAACCCCGAUUGCGUAGGCAGCUCGCUGGGCCGAAACUGACGCUGAGGCACGAAAGCGUGGGGAGCGAACAGGAUUAGAUACCCUGGUAGUCC